GAACAACUGGCUGUGAGUAAGAGUACCAAGGAAAAAUAAGUCACAUGUCAGAGUCUACUGCCCUCAUGCAAUGGAAAGUGAGUGAGAGCAGCAAGCCUGUGAGCAUUGUUCAUGCCAGGCAAGAGCCGUUCAUUUGGGAGCCAAGCAGAUGCCACUGUCAGUGAGAAGUGUCUGUUUUGCUGAGGGUUCUGUUAACAGCCCAUCUGACUCCAGUGUCCUCCACUGGAGAAGGUUGGAUCCAGGAGGAUGACUCCAGAUG